ACAGUGAGGAAAUAUUAUUUCAUCAUCUAUUUUCCGGAGCCCCAACCAUUUAGGCUUGUCUUCUCAACGUUUCUUUGUUCUGCUCUGUUUCCUCAAAGGCAAGGAAGUGAGGACAGGAUACUUAUAAACAAUCCUUUUGGUGUCAUAACCUGUUCAUAAUACAUACUGUUUGGCACUUGACAUAGUUUAGCAGGGUACAGAUUUCUUUCUGGCACAUCUAUGGCCUGCCUUGCCCCUCUGCCUGCCUCCUAUGCUUCCUGUCAGAGUGUCUCCUCCCUUGGCAGGUAGAACUAUCAGGGUACUUUUUACCAGUAAUGUCGACCAAAGCACUCCCACAUGUCCCUCUCCAGCAUUCCUGUUCAAAAAGAAGCUUGGCUGGUAUUUCCUUGGCAAAGAGGAAAUAAGCCAUAAUAUGGGAGAAGGCAUAGCCUAGGUUCCAGAUAGCCAUUCUCAGCAAAGAAAAUUGCCGGAAUUAGGCUCAUGAGCACAAUUGCAGGCUAUCUAGCAGAGUCUGACACCCAUUCAGGAGACUCCAGAGAGGAGCAGAUAAAAAGUGCAGCGAGCUACACAAACCCCUCAUUGCUCAUUUGAUAACUUCCUAUAACCUAAUGGUAAAUUGAGCAGUUACACGCAUGUUCUUAUUUGCUUUGUUUUGUUUAUCAUAAUUAAAUCUCCCAGCUCAAUAAGCAUCUGAGGUACUUUUGUGGCAUUUCAGUCUCUGAAAGGUGGCUCUUGAUUCUUUGUGACAUAGGACAGGCUUGGUCGGUCUGUGCCCUUUUGUCAGGGAAGUGGGGGCCACCUUAUUGUUAUGGUUUGAAUCUGCCCAUCCUCUGCCAAGCUCACACUUAGAACAAUUGGUUCUCAGAUGGUAGUUGCACUCAGGGAAGGUACAGACCCUUUGGAAUAUAGCUGGCAGAUGAGAGCCACCAGGCCUGAGACUUGGAAGGCUAUGCCUGCCCACAGGUUUGGCCUAAUGCUCUACUUCCUGGUUGGGCUACCAGGUGAAGAGCCACAUGUUCUCACUGCUGUGAAUGUUGUCAGGCCUUCCCUGCUGCAAUGGUCUGAAAUCCCCUGAAACACAGUGAGUCAAAAUGAAUCCUUUCAGAUUAAAAGUGGCUUCCUUUGGGCAUGGAGUUACAACAGUAAGAAAAGCAGCACACAUCCAUGAAGCUCUACCCAUCUAGUUAGCCUCAUGCCCUUAAUGUGGGAGGCUCCCAUAGCAAAACUAAUUAUAUAUGUGUGUGUGUGUAUAUAUAUAUAUAUAUAUAUAUAUAUAUAUAUAUAUAACAUAAAAUUUUAUUUAAUUUUUGACUGUUAAACAUAGCUUUUGAUCAUAUUUACAAACACACCCUCCUCCCAGACUCACUCCUUCUAGCUUCAUGUUUUCUGUCUCCUCCCCCACCCCCGUGUCUUUCUAAAACCCACUGAAUCCAGUUUUUACUGCCUAUAAACCACUGAUCCUCAACCAAUGAGUCAUGACCCUUUGGAAGGGGGAGGGGUGGAUCUAAUGCUUCAUUCACAGGGGCCACCUAAGACCAUUCUGCAUAUCCGAUAUUUACAUUACUAUUCAUGACCAUAGGAAAAUUUCAGUUCUGAAGUAGCAACAGAAACAAUUUUAUGGAUGUGGGUCACCACAGCAUGAGGAACUCUAUUAAAAGGUCACAACAUCAGGAAGGUUGAGAACCAAUGUCCAUAGACUCAUGGGUAUGGCCAUCCGCGGGAGUAUGACCAUUCCCCGGAGGCCACACCAUUUAAGUAAACUGACUCUUCCUCCAGCUGUCAGGAGCCCUUCAGGUAGGAAUGGAUGCUCAUGUGCCCUUACCCCUACCUUAAGUGUACUGCUGACCGAUCCACUCAUGAGAGCAGCAACCUUCUCAUUUCCAGAAGACACUCUGUUGACCCAAUUCUCCUGAACCUCUGGCCCUUAGGAUUUUUCCACCCCUAGCCCCAUAUGCUGGUCCCCAAAUCUUGGAGGGAAGGCUAUUCUAGCAGAGCAGCAGAACAUCUACCUAAGAUGACUCCUGGCAGUAUUUUUUUCAGACUCUCGCAUUCCUAACUAAAGUAAUUAAUCUCUGGUUGUGUGCGGGUGAAUAGAACUAGUUUUUUAAAACUGCCAAAAAGCAAAUAAACACUUUCCUGUCUGUUAAGGUUUUGGCUGAAACAUGGGAACUCCAUUUGGCUUAUAGAGAGAAAUGUUUUUUAAAUUUAAUAUUCACUGAAUAUUUUUACAAAAUACCCCCAAAUGUAGUUUUCAGCUAUGUGCGUCAUAAC
rnacentral:lncRNA from 1 species